rnacentral:misc_RNA from 1 species
AUGUACCAGUAACAGCCGCUCUACACUCCAACCUCAGACAGCAGUGGCAGCACACCCCCAGCCACUGUUGAACUGAUUGCACACAACAUGCUGGACAGAUUUGUGAACGGGCUGGUAGCCAUCAGUCUGGUGAUUUCGUGUUGUCAUGGAGACGAUGAGUGUCAGGAGGUCGUGGUCCCCAUGUGCCGGGGGUUGGUCGGCUACACACACACCCGUCUCCCCAAUAGAUUCGGUCACGUGACCCAGUCGGAGGUAUACCGGGCCAUCGAGCGAUACUGGCCGUUCAUGGACAGCGACUGUCACAAGAACUUCCGGUUAACCGUAUGCGGAACAUUUCUCCCAAAAUGCUCUACAGGAAGUACCGCCACUGUACUCCCAUGCCGCGAGACUUGUUUCAGUGCCAAACGAGGCUGUAGCCAAAAGUUGAAACAGGGAGGAACAAAAUGGCCGAACAGACAGCUUAAAUGUAAUCGCUUCCGACGAAAGAGGCAGGGCUCUUGCCUUAAAGCAGUGCCUAACCACAUGGCGCCGGCGCCUCUGCGCUACGCCUACUGUGAACAAAAUACGUUCAGUGCAUGCGCUAAUCUCUCUCUUCAGAUUCGAACAUUACCAAACAUGUUUCUUCAGAGUGACGAACGAAUUAUUCAACUGGAAAUGAAUCAGUACGAAGCCUUGUCGUGAGACUUGUGAAGAAGUUGAAAUGGCAUGUGCAGAGGAGUUCCAAAGGUUGUACCGCGGUCUCCCAUGGCCAGCAAAAUUACAGUGCCAUCGAUAUCCCUCAGGAUCUUCCCAACAAGCGUGUGCGACACCGAAUGACGCUGCGAUUGCAUAAUAUGACUAAGAGUAAUCUGAUUUGAUGUCUUCUGUGGAGACUAUAUAUUCUUACAUGUUCUAAUAAUAUUAUUCUAUGAUUACAUGUAUGAUGUUGUUUGGAUGUAAAAUAAUAAAGAUAAUAAUCUAAUUUAU